rnacentral:rRNA from 1 species
ACCAGACUCCUACGGGAGGCAGCAGUGGGGAAUAUUGCACAAUGGGGGAAACCCUGAUGCAGCGACGCCGCGUGAGUGAAGAAGUAUUUCGGUAUGUAAAGCUCUAUCAGCAGGGAAGAAAAUGACGGUACCUGACUAAGAAGCCCCGGCUAACUACGUGCCAGCAGCCGCGGUAAUACGUAGGGGGCAAGCGUUAUCCGGAUUUACUGGGUGUAAAGGGAGCGUAGACGGUGAUGCAAGUCAGAAGUGAAAGCCCGGGGCUCAACUCCGGGACUGCUUUUGAAACUGUGUAACUGGAGUGCAGGAGAGGUAAGCGGAAUUCCUAGUGUAGCGGUGAAAUGCGUAGAUAUUAGGAGGAACACCAGUGGCGAAGGCGGCUUACUGGACUGUAACUGACACUGAGGCUCGAAAGCGUGGGGAGCAAACAGGAUUAGAUCCCCCAGUA